rnacentral:rRNA from 1 species
AGUGAACGCUGGCGGUAGGCCUAACACAUGCAAGUCGAACGGCAGCACAGUAAGAGCUUGCUCUUACGGGUGGCGAGUGGCGGACGGGUGAGGAAUACAUCGGAAUCUACUUUUUCGUGGGGGAUAACGUAGGGAAACUUACGCUAAUACCGCAUACGACCUACGGGUGAAAGCAGGGGAUCUUCGGACCUUGCGCGAUUGAAUGAGCCGAUGUCGGAUUAGCUAGUUGGCGGGGUAAAGGCCCACCAAGGCGACGAUCCGUAGCUGGUCUGAGAGGAUGAUCAGCCACACUGGAACUGAGACACGGUCCAGACUCCUACGGGAGGCAGCAGUGGGGAAUAUUGGACAAUGGGCGCAAGCCUGAGCCAGCCAUACCGCGUGGGUGAAGAAGGCCUUCGGGUUGUAAAGCCCUUUUGUUGGGAAAGAAAAGCAGCAGGUUAAUACCCCGCUGUUCUGACGGGACCCAAAGAAUAAACACCGGCUAACUUCGG